GCGGCCGCCGCUCCCUCUGCGACCUGUAUGAGGAGGAGGAGGAGGAGGAUGUGAAGAUGGCGGAGCUGCAGAUGCUGCUGGAAGAGGAAAUCCCGGGGGGCCGCCGGGCCCUCUUCGACAGCUACACAAAUCUGGAACGGGUGGCCGAUUACUGCGAGAACAACUACAUACAGUCAGCAGAUAAGCAGAGAGCCCUAGAAGAAACCAAAGCCUACACCACCCAAUCCUUAGCAAGUGUUGCCUAUCUGAUAAACACCUUGGCCAACAAUGUCCUGCAGAUGCUGGAUAUCCAGGCAUCCCAGCUACGAAGGAUGGAAUCUUCAAUCAAUCAUAUUUCACAAACAGUUGAUAUUCAUAAAGAGAAAGUUGCAAGAAGAGAAAUUGGUAUUUUGACUACCAAUAAAAACACUUCAAGGACACAUAAGAUUAUUGCUCCAGCCAACCUUGAACGACCAGUUCGUUAUAUUAGAAAACCUAUUGACUAUACAAUUCUAGAUGAUAUUGGACAUGGAGUAAAGAUUUGAUUGGAAGAGCCCAGGCAUAUGGACACCUGUAUUAUUGAUUGGAU
rnacentral:sRNA from 1 species